rnacentral:rRNA from 1 species
UGAGGAAUAUUGCUCAAUGGGCGAAAGCCUGAAGCAGCAACGCCGCGUGCGCGAUGAAGGUCUUCCGAUCGUAAAGCGCUUUUGAGAGGGACGAGAUAGGACGGUACCUCUUGAAUAAGUCACGGCUAACUACGUGCCAGCAGCCGCGGUAAAACGUAGGUGGCAAGCGUUAUCCGGAUUCACUGGGCGUAAAGCGCGUGCAGGUGGCUUCGUAAGUUGGACGUUAAAUCUUUCGGCCUAACCGGGAGGUGUCGUUCAAUACUGCGGGGCUUGAGGGUAGAAGAGGGGGGUGGAAUUGCCGGUGUAGUGGUGAAAUGCGUAGAUAGCGGCAGGAACACCUGUGGCGAAAGCGGCCCCCUGGUCUGCUCCUGACACUCAGACGCGAAAGCUAGGGGAGUGAACG